UUUAAACAUCCUGCAGACCAGAACCUGCAAACAAAAAGUUAAACAUGAAAGAGGUAAUCAAAUUUCAAAAUUCAAAAUUCAAAUGGAUUUCAAACACCCGCCUCUAAAUUCCCCCUUUCAUUCUCAAAUGACAAAAACCCUAAAUCAGAUUUCAAAAUACAAAUCUAUUUCUUUCAUGGUUCUCUUUCAUCGCCAUAUCUUUUCCUGCUCCAGUCUCAAAUCGCUACAUAUGUUGCUUAAGAAUUCCUUCACAAUUUAGGGUUUCUCCAUGUGCGAUUACAUCCUCUUCUUCUUUGCUAUGAUCCAGGAUGAAACCCUAGAUUCUCUGCUCCUCCAUCGACACUCCAUCUCUUGCGAUUCUUUGCUCCUCCACCUGUGAGUUUUCAUGGCGAUUAUAGGAUGGCAAAGCUUCAUACCACGCUAUCAAGAGGGAAUCUGAGGGGUGUUGAUGCAGCUGUUAAAUGACAACCGAAACGACCUCAUCCACCUAUUUUGAAUUGUGACCACUGACUACACUUCACAUACACACCCACUCUUAGCUUCAUUAAAUGCUCACAAAUGUGAAUGAUUAUUGUGAGCAACAAUUACUAGGAAUUCAAGGGCGGCCACGUGAUUGUUUGUUAAUGGGUCAAAUGUAAUAAAGGUUGUUACAAAGGAUGUAGGUUCGUCCGUUAAACUGGUAAAUAAGUUGGGAGUCGUCUAAAAUGUGCUCGCUCAAAUUUCUAAAAGGUAAGAAUUCUUAAUUAGUACUAAUCAUUAUAUUAACGAAGAGGCAUAGUUUAAGGGAAAAUGUGAAAACGUUGUAUACACGCGUCAAUUGUUGCUCAUCUUACCUCAGCUGGCAUACAUGCGACAACUAUUACUUAUUUAACCUGAGCUGACCCUUGGAUAAACAACGGACGUCCAGGAUUUUCAACCACCGUAGUAAUUUAAUUUUAUAUAAUUUCAAUUAUCGUUAUAUGACUUUUUGGGGCUAUGAUUGAUAUAUUGAAUUUUACAAAUCCUAACAUGAUUCUUUGUACCUUUGACAAUGGAGUCACCAAUCAGACACAUUAAGAAGGCUUAUAUGCUUUGUUUCAUUAUGGUUUUAACUCAUGCAAAUUGAUGCACCGGUAAAAGGCCUUGGGUUUAAUUUUUGUGAUUUUAUUUGAUGUACAAAUAGACCAUUAAUCCAUAAAUUCAAUGAAACUUCAUUAAAAGUAAAAAUGCUUUCUGAUUAAACAACUUUUCCAGAUCAUUUUUUAAAAUUUAGCUUUUGUCCGGUGGUACUUGUGGAACAACGAUGCUGCUUUUACUAGCAACAUUGUGUUCAUGGUUGGUGAUAAAGUGGUAACUGGUGAUGAAGUGAAGCUGACGGGACUGAUCUGAAUAUUCUCAUACUCUGUAUAUGGAUUCUAUGAUGAGCACCAGAGGAAAUGCGGUUCUGGUUAAUGUUUAUAGAGAUUACACAUAUAUUUGAUUACCCAAGAUGGAAAAGGUGAAAACACGGGAAAGUUCAAUACUACUAAGACAAUGUCUCAGAGCGUUGUAUAUUUGUUGACGGGAUUAGCUUAGUAAGAGAGGUCUUUGUGGUAUACACCCAUAUUUGUCCUUGCUAGCAAGAUCUCAUAUUAAGUUCUAUGAUCAGAGGAAGCAAAUCAAAACAUGAGCUGGAAACUAAACCCGAGUCCAGAAGGGAGAGUUUUGAAGAACCGUCAACAUUUUCAGUGGUCAAGUUUCCAUCAAAGAAUGAAGAAUGAAACCCAACAUGAGAUCAAAUGUGCAUUGGUGCUUAAGGCUUAAAAGGUCCACUAUAAAUAUGAUUUUGGUUGAGGUGACCCUAUCAAUGGCUUUUGUAGUUAUUAAUAACUAAUUGUAAACAUUCAAUAAUUAAUCUCUUAAAUUGAUUAAUAUACUUUAUCCUCA